AACGAACGCUGGCGGCAGGCUUAACACAUGCAAGUCGAACGCAUCCUUCGGGGUGAGUGGCAGACGGGUGAGUAACGCGUGGGAACGUGCCCUUCAGUUCGGGAUAACCCAGGGAAACUUGGGCUAAUACCGGAUACGUGCGAGAGCAGAAAGAUUUAUCGCUGAAGGAUCGGCCCGCGUCUGAUUAGCUAGUUUGUGGGGUAAUGGCCCACCAAGGCGACGAGCAGUAGCUGGUCUGAGAGGAUGAUCAACCACAUUGGGACGGAGAGACGGCCCAGUCACCUACGGGAGGCAGCAGUGUGGAAGAGACGACCAUAGGCGAAACCCUGGUCCAGCCAUGCCGCGUGAGUGAUGAAGGCCUUAGGGUUGUAAAGCUCUUUCGUCCGGGACGUUACUGACGGUACCCGAAGAAGAAGCCCCGGCUAACUUCGUGCCAGCCGCCCCCGUAA
rnacentral:rRNA from 1 species